UCCUACGGGAGGCAGCAGUGGGGAAUCUUAGACAAUGGGGGCAACCCUGAUCUAGCCAUGCCGCGUGAGCGAUGACGGCCUUAGGGUUGUAAAGCUCUUUCGCCAGGGAAGAUAAUGACUGUACCUGGUAAAGAAGUCCCGGCUAACUCCGUGCCAGCAGCCGCGGUAAUACGGAGGGGGUUAGCGUUGUUCGGAAUUACUGGGCGUAAAGCGCACGUAGGCGGAUUGGAAAGUUGGGGGUGAAAUCCCAGGGCUCAACCCUGGAACUGCCUCCAAAACUAUCAGUCUAGAGUUCGAGAGAGGUGAGUGGAAUUCCGAGUGUAGAGGUGAAAUUCGUAGAUAUUCGGAGGAACACCAGUGGCGAAGGCGGCUCACUGGCUCGAUACUGACGCUGAGGUGCGAAAGUGUGGGGAGCAAACAGGAUUAGAUACCCUGGUAGUCCACACCGUAAACGAUGAAUGCCAGUCGUCGGGUAGUAUACUAUUCGGUGACACACCUAACGGAUUAAGCAUUCCGCCUGGGGAGUACGGUCGCAAGAUUAAAACUCAAAUGAAUUGACGGA
rnacentral:rRNA from 1 species